rnacentral:rRNA from 1 species
GAGUUUGAUCAUGGCUCAGAUUGAACGCUGGCGGCAGGCCUAACACAUGCAAAGUCGAGCGGAUGACGGGAGCUUGCUCCUUGAUUCAGCGGCGGACGGGUGAGUAAUGCCUGGGAAUCUGCCUGGUAGUGGGGGACAACGUUUCGAAAGGAACGCUAAUACCGCAUACGUCCUACGGGAGAAAGCAGGGGACCUUCGGGCCUUGCGCUAUCAGAUGAGCCUAGGUCGGAUUAGCUAGUUGGUGGGGUAAUGGCUCACCAAGGCGACGAUCCGUAACUGGUCUGAGAGGAUGAUCAGUCACACUGGAACUGAGACACGGUCCAGACUCCUACGGAGGCAGCAGUGGGGAAUAUUGGACAAUGGGCGAAAGCCUGAUCCAGCCAUGCCGCGUGUGUGAAGAAGGUCUUCGGAUUGUAAAGCACUUUAAGUUGGGAGGAAGGGCAGUAAGUUAAUACCUUGCUGUUUUGACGUUACCGACAGAUAAAGCACCGGCUAACUCUGUGCCAGCCGCCG